ensembl:snoRNA U3 Small nucleolar RNA U3
AAGACUAUACUUUCAGGGAUCGUUUCUAUAGGUCAUAACUAGAGAAGUGUCUCUGACUAUGUAGAAUACCAGAAACCAUGAGGACGAGACGUAGCAUUCUCUCCUGAGCAUGAAGCUGGCUUUUUGUGUUGCUUUUUUGCAACUGCCAUUUGCCAUUAAUGAUCAUUCUCUUCCUUUGGAAGCGCUAAAAGGAUUGCAGUCUGAGUGGU